rnacentral:rRNA from 1 species
UACGUAGGGUGCAAGCGUUGUCCGGAAUUAUUGGGCGUAAAGAGCUCGUAGGCGGUCUGUCGCGUCGAAUGUGAAAACCCGGGGCUCAACCCCGGGCCUGCAUUCGAUACGGGCAGACUAGAGUUCGGUAGGGGAGUCUGGAAUUCCUGGUGUAGCGGUGAAAUGCGCAGAUAUCGGGAGGAACACCUGUGGCGAAAGCGGCGCACUGGACCAUACUGACGCUGAUGCGCGGAAAGCUAGGGGAGCAAACAGG